UGGCUUUAACGACUUUUAUUACAUUUUUCUUGUCAUUUUACAGGAAGGCCAGACCAAUAAAUUGCUUUUGACAAACUUCUAAAAACACUGUUUGUACAGACACCACCCUUAGAUAUACAUAUCAGAAAUAAAUAACCCGAUAUAAACCUACUAACAAUUACAAAUGCUGAUAUAACUAAAAAUCACAAAUCAAUGUGAUAAGUAUACAAGUAUAAAAAGUUAUCAAGUAAAUGUGGCUCAAAAAGUUAUUUAUCAACAUAUAUGCAGAAAGAACAUUGUAAUGUAUAUUAACAACCAACAUUGUUUUAGUUUUUUUACAAAACAUACAUACAUUAUUACAUUUGAAAAUUGUUCAGCUUAUGCAUAGAACUGAAUUUACUUGUUUAUAAAUUUUUGUUAAAAAACACAUUUUAUAUAACUCAUGGAAUUUUAUAACAUGACAGGAGGCUUCCUAUUUUGCAUUAACUCUCUUUACUAAACUCCACAGCAGUAAAGAAAAACGUAAAGAGUAACAUUAAAUCACUGAGCAGCAUAGUAUAUAUAAGGGUCAUGCUGCCUGUACACUUCCUCUUUCUUUACUGCUCCACGCAGACAGGUCAGACUAUUUGGCUCCUCCAGAGCCUUUUC